AUGAAAAACUGGCAGGGGAGAUACCAUGAUCACAAAGAUGGUUUUCCCAGGGUAAGGCUUAUCCAUUGUACUCUGGAUAUGCUGACCCCUGCGAUUUCCCCAAAUGUGGGACACUCGACUGCAUAAUUUGUGGUAGUGGGGGACCGCGUUCACACUCUCCCA
rnacentral:snRNA from 1 species